AUGGUGACGGUGUCCGUGGACGUCGUGUUCCUCCUUGCAUGCUCCGUUGUGGUGCUCCCACUCCUUCUGUCUUAUUCCGGAACCACACCACGGCGUCUUUCACGGGAGAUUGGAUCUGAGCUCUCGCCCCUGGUUUCUCUGUGUUGCCGGCAUCAUGACGGCGUCAACACAGCGAACCACACUCGAGUCAGCUGCACGGCGUCAGGUUAUUCCACCCGAUCUCCUCCCUUCCUGGAACCUCGGUCCUCCUCGAUCUCGCCCUCCUCCAUCUCCUCUACGCCCGCCGAUGUGGGCCGCGUCUCCGUGUCCUCGGCCAUGCCGGCGGCGGCAGCGAUGCGGUCUGGCGUCGGCGCCGACGGAGUUCCCGUCUCACCGUGUCUGGACCAAGCACGACACCACCUCGGUGUUGCACGCCGCGACAAUGCCCGCCCGGGCUCAAACCCCCCUCCCCCAAGAGCUCCUCCUCCUCGACGCACCGCUCUCUUCGUCCCUUGUCUCCUCCGCUCGCCACUUGAUCAUAGAACUAGUCAGGACAGGGGACGACAUGGCCGCCGCCAAGCAGUAGCCGCCGCUAUACAUUGUCGUCGCCGACGACCGCCAGAGGAGCAGCUUCUCGUGCACACGCCCCAUCCCGCAGAGCGCGCUCCAGCUCAUGGGCUACAAGCCACGCCACACCUUCAAGGUCUGUCUUCCCCCAUCUUGCUUGUCCCCCAAUCUGGAGAAUUCCACGGCGGCCUUGUUCGGAACUGGUUCAUGGGUAAGGCCAGGUCUUGUUCAGACGUGGCCAGGCCUUGGCGUAGCCUUGUGGGCUGUAGCCUUUUGGGUAGGUUUGGUGUGGCUGGGCAUCAAGGCGUCAAUGCCCUUAGGUGUUGUAGCGUCACGCCGACACGCGAUCACUCGACGAACCACAGCGGAUGGCCGACGCUGCGCUGGGAUUUAGCUUUACACCUAGCAUCAUCCAUGCUAAUCCGAUCAGUCACUGACCUCAGCUCCAACUCAAAGGAACGCAGCCAAAAGAACGCCGAUAACCGUAAGAAACAGAAGACAAAUUACAAAAUUGGAUCAAAAUCUUACUCGCAAGUAAGCUUUGAGAAGUUAUUCAAUGGUGUGCAUUCGAACAAAGCACGUCAAGAGGUUCAAAACAAAGAAACUGAAACUGAAGGUCCACUUUCAAGUGAGCAGAAAAACAAUAUUUUCCAGACCUCAUACAAACACACUCUGAAAUGCAAGUCAUCGCAGCCUCGUGGAUAUGGAUACAUGGCCAAACGUUCAACUGGUUCUUAA
rnacentral:rRNA from 1 species